GAUGAACGCUGGCGGCGUGCCUAAUACAUGCAAGUCGAGCGAACGGACGAGAAGCUUGCUUCUCUGAUGUUAGCGGCGGACGGGUGAGUAACACGUGGAUCACCUACCUAUCAGACUGGGAUAACUUCGGGAAACCGGCGCUAAUACCGGAUAAUAUUUUGAACCGCAUGGUUCAAAAGUGAAAGACGGUCUUGCUGUCACUUAUAGAUGCAUCCGCGCUGCAUUAGCUAGUUGUUAAGGUAACGGCUUACCAAGGCAACGAGGCAUAGCCGACCUGAGAGGGUGAUCGGCCACACUGGAACUGAGACAGGGUCAAGACGACUAAGGGAGGCAGCAGUAGGGAAUCUUCCGCAAUGGGCGAAAGCCUGACGGAGAAAGGCCGCGUGAGUGAUGAAGGUCUUGGGAUCGUAAAACUCUGUUAUUAGGGAAGAACAUAUGUGUAAGUAACUGAGCACAGCGUGACGGUACCUAAUCAGAAAGCCACGGCUAACUACGUG
rnacentral:rRNA from 1 species